rnacentral:rRNA from 1 species
CCUACGGGUGGCUGCAGUGGGGAAUAUUGGACAAUGGGCGAAAGCCUGAUCCAGCCAUGCCGCGUGUGUGAAGAAGGCCUUCGGGUUGUAAAGCACUUUCAGUGGGGAAGAAAGCCUUGGGGCUAAUACCCUCGAGGAAGGACAUCACCCACAGAAGAAGCACCGGCUAACUCCGUGCCAGCAGCCGCGGUAAUACGGAGGGUGCGAGCGUUAAUCGGAAUUACUGGGCGUAAAGCGCGCGUAGGCGGUCUGAUAAGCCGGUUGUGAAAGCCCCGGGCUCAACCUGGGAACGGCAUCCGGAACUGUCAGGCUAGAGUGCAGGAGAGGAAGGUAGAAUUCCCGGUGUAGCGGUGAAAUGCGUAGAGAUCGGGAGGAAUCCCAGUGGCGAAGGCGGCCUUCUGGACUGACACUGACGCUGAGGUGCGAAAGCGUGGGUAGCAAACAGGAUUAGAUACCCCUGUAGUC